GAUCCGGCUGAGUGGUUCUGCCAAUGGUAGACACUGCUCUGGUCGGAUCUUUCUUUCUGGGGAACUAGCGUGCUCUUAACUGAGUGCGUUAGGGAUCCAGGACUUUUACUUUGAAAAAAUUAGAGUGUUUAAAGCAGGCCUACGCUUGAAUACGUUAGCAUGGAAUAAUAGAAUAGGACUUUGGUUCUAUUUUGUUGGUUUCUAGGACCGAGGUA
rnacentral:rRNA from 1 species